rnacentral:lncRNA from 1 species
UUCGUUCUCUUAAUUGAAUUGCAAUUAAACUCGGCCCAAUCUUUUGCUAAAAUGAUUGAGCCGAAUACAACAAAGAUUCUAUUGCAUAUAUUUUGACUAAGUAUAUGCUUACCUAGAUAUACAAGAUUUGAAAUACAAAAUCUAGAAAACUAAAUCAAAAUCUAAGACUCAAAUCUUUCUAUUGUUGUCUUGGAUCCACAA